rnacentral:rRNA from 1 species
UAGGGAAUCUUCCGCAAUGGGCGAAAGCUUGACGGAGCAACGCCGCGUGAGUGAUGAAGGUCUUCGGAUCGUAAAACUCUGUUAUUAGGGAAGAACAAAUGUGUAAGUAACUAUGCACGUCUUGACGGUACCUAAUCAGAAGGCCACGGCUAACUACGUGCCAGCAGCCGCGGUAAUACGUAGGUGGCAAGCGUUAUCCGGAAUUAUUGGGCGUAAAGCGCGCGUAGGCGGUUUUUUAAGUCUGAUGUGAAAGCCCACGGCUCAACCGUGGAGGGUCAUUGGAAACUGGAAAACUUGAGUGCAGAAGAGGAAAGUGGAAUUCCAUGUGUAGCGGUGAAAUGCGCAGAGAUAUGGAGGAACACCAGUGGCGAAGGCGACUUUCUGGUCUGUAACUGACGCUGAUGUGCGAAAGCGUGGGGAUCAAACAGG